rnacentral:lncRNA from 1 species
UCAUUGUGGGAUAUUUAGGUUUGAACCAGUAAACCGCAUUAACAAUUCCUGAGAAAUAAAAAUAGAAGCCAGGUAAGAAAAUAAAAUCUAACCUUUUUUUUCCCUUUUCCUUCGUGCUCAGUCUAGUUUCACUGGCUCGCAGGGGCCGCAUGGAGAGGCCUCGCACCUGGAACUUCAGGCCCUUCAGCAGGCUGGCUGUGUGGGAGCAUUGCACUGGGUGCCCCACAGCAAUCAAGAUGGCGGCGAGGGUAGUAUGCAGAGGCUGUUCGCGAGACUCGGGUCCAGAGCCUCGCGAGAACUGCGCCCUUCCCAGCUGCCAGUCAAAGGGCCGCGCACAGGCUGUUGGGAGAGCACACGCUCUGGAGCAGGAGCUCGCCAUGUUGUAUCCUUGGCGAAGACUGACGCUUUCGUUUGCUUCUUAAGGCAACUGACUCUCGUUCCAUUGCCUCCAAGGACACUGGGUGGGAGGCCCCUUGCUGGCGCCCCACUUGGAAGAAUGCCUGACUGCUUUCCUCUCAAGUCAGGGAAAAGGAAGACAAGUAGAACCCAGGACCUCUUUUCCUUUUCAAACACAACAAACCUGUCUAGGACUCUCCCAGAAACCUCCUGUCACUGCUUCACUGGCCUGAACUGUGUCACGUGGCCAGGGUGGAGGAUGUGUAGUCCACACUGACUUUUUUGUAUUAACUAUUGAAGAAAGAGAAGCAAUGUCCAGAACCACACAGUCCGAGUCCUGUAUACACAAUAAUAAAGCUAUCAGUGUUCACCUUUAGUUUUUUUAAAUCUUAAAUGAUGAAGUGUUCGGAACACUGUGACGGGUCCAGAAUAAACAGUACAGCUGUCCUGUACUUCCCAUCGAGCUACUGGUUUCCAGCUCUCCCACUUCAGAGCCUUUACUGGUCGGUCCUUCUGGCAGAGAACAGCUUGCGUCAUUUAUCUGCGCAGCUUCCUCCCUUCUCUCCAUCCAGGCUGAUGGCGUCUCCUCAGACAGGCCUGCCGACCUUUCUCUGCAGCGAUGCAGCUGGAGUGGGCUCUGAAUGGCGAGCGAAAGGCACCCUCGGUUUCCCCGGGACGCGAGCCAGCCAGCCCUGCUUUCCUGUUUUUUCUAGCACUUACUGCAUGUAAAUAUGUAUUUGGUUCACUUGUCUGUUUGCUCCGACCAGAAUCCCGUCUGCAACUCCCUGAGGGCUUUGUUUUACCUACUAGUCAGCGCUCAGAACCAAGGCUCGCGCACAGUAAGCACUCAGUAAACAGCUGCUGAACCAAAGUGUUACCUGGGCAGACGUUGUGAGCACAGCAGGCUGGUAAUGAUUUGGUAGGGGUGGAUGAAUUCUUGCACUCUAGUAAAUGACCUUUGUCUUUUCAAGUGUAAUAUUUAAUAUUUAAUUAGUUUGGCAUGACAAGUUAAGUAUUUCAAGGCAGUUAAUCAUUUAUUCAUUUAAGAUAAAAGCUUGUUUUUACAUAGAAGUCUAAGGAAGAAAAUAAAAAUGGACUCUCAGCCUAUUGACCAAAAAAGCCUAUUGAUAGGCUUAAUAAAGCCUACUUAUAUCUCAGUAAAGAGAAACCUAUUUCUUUCUAGGAUAACAACAAAACAAAUGAUAAACGUACAUGCUUAUAGUUAGAAACCUGAGGUUGUGUAGAAAAGUAGAAGACGUUCCCCUCUGUGCUCUGCUGGUUCUGUCACAAAAAGAGACCCUUAUAACCAAUUACUCAUGAAUUGUUUCAGAAAAUUUUUCUGCGCCUAUAGGUAUACGUUUACUAGCAAAAUACUCAUGAUCUUAAGUUGCUUUAGACUCACACACAUCACAGUAGCUUCUUCCCCAGCCCUCGCAUGGUUUGUACUUAGAUAUUUAUUUGCUCAACUCUACGUUGACUCUCUUUCUUCCGCCCAGCUCUACCUGCCUAACCACCAUUGACUCCCCAGGGCCUGGCACACAGCAAGUCAUUUCUGUUUCUCAAAUAAUAAAGACCCAGAGAUGGCAAAACCCAAGGAUAGAUGAAGACUGUAAUAUUAGGGGAAAGUUCUAGGCCUCCAUGCCCUAUUUAUACUUCUAGGCGUCUUCCUUUCUCACCAGUCUCAACAGUCAGAAUGCUGUGAGCCUUUGAGCGGAGCUCUAAGUACUGUGUCUGAACAGUCCGUCUUGUCGCAAAGGUGCGCUUCCCGUCUCUACUUAGCCCAGCAGACGAAGCAAAGAUCUGAAGACUCACUGAACACUGACAAAACAAGAAAGCAGAAAAUUCCUCUACCACAAGAGAAACUUCUUGACAGUGUAAAAAAAAAAACCAACCAAAUCCACCUGGCUUCUAAGAAGCAGGCCUGCAGCUCAGAGUCAAAACACAGGAAGUGAGUUGUAAAUGGCACAAUGAAUAAAACAACUAUUUUGGGGGGUGAAACAGAAUCUGGUCUCUGAUCUUUAGAUGUCACCUCUCAAAGUGAGGAGGGACUGUGGAGUCAAAACGCUCACCCAGUGGCCCCUUUUUCAAAAAGAAGCAGCCAGCGUACACCUCAGUAAAUAAACUGGAAAAAAAAAGAUUGCAUUACACACUUAAAACAGGUAAAUUUUAUGGCAUGUAAAUUAUAUCUCAAUUAAGGUGUUAAAAAAAACCACACACACAGAGCCAAAGUAACAGUGAAAAGGUGUUUUCUUUUGCCAGCAGUCAGCCAGUACAGAUUCCGGGGGUGGGGGGUGUGUGUGUGUGGUGUGUGUACAGAUUCAGGGGUGGGGGUGUGUGUGUGUGUGUGUGUGGUGUGUCUGUACAGAUUCAGGGGUGGGGUGUGUGUGUGUGUGUGCAGAUUCAGGGUGUGUGCGUGUGUGUGUGGUGUGUCUGUACAGAUUCAGGGUGUGUGUGUGUGUGGUGUGUGUCUGUGUGAAAACUGGUCUGUGAGUCCAGAGCACACCAGGGUGGUGUGUGUGUGUGUGUGUGCUGUCUGUCUGUCUGUGUGAAAACUGGUCUGUGAGUCCAGAGCACACCAGGGUGUGGAAGACUUAAAGGUCACUGUUCCGUAUUAUGCAGAAAACAUGUGCAGAGCCAAGAAGGCGAAAACAGUACUUUAAUAAAAAGACGUGGGACUGGGGGGGUCUCCCGACGAGCAAAAGCAGUUGGAAAGAUGACCCUUCUGUCCGGGAGGCGUUACCUGGCCCUCCUACGGGGGCGAAACCGCAGAGCGUAAAAGCUUGCCUCCCCGUGGCCUGCUGAUUCCGUUCCCUUGUAAUACAGGCUUGUUCCAUGUGCCAGGAUUCAGAGAUUUAUGGAGGCAGAGUGCACAGGGAAUUAUUUCCGAAAGAAAUAAUCCCAGGAGUAGUGAGAGGGGAGGAGGGAGAGAAAGAGGGAAAGAGAAACAGAAAGAUUAAUCUCCAGGACAGAGGAAGAUUGGCGGUAACGCCAUUCAAGUAUGAACCGCCACAAGAACUAGGAACUGACGAGGGUGCCUUAAGCAGAGCCUCUGUGGGGACUGGACGAGUGAAGUGAAACCCGGAGGGGAGGCUGGGCGGAGCGGGCCCGCGGCCCGCCAGCAGCGGGGCUCUGCAGUGGGGCCGCGCGCUGGGUUUGCCGCCCUGGGACUGGGGGGAAAGGC